CCUGGAGGCUCAGAGGUUAAAGCGCCUGCCUGCAAUGCAGUAGACCCAGGUUCAAUCCCUGGGUCAGGA
rnacentral:tRNA from 1 species